CAUGGUGUGAGGGCAGGGACUGAGCCGGCCCGGCCCGGCCCGGCUCGGCGGCGGCAGCAGCACCAUGUCGGGCCCGAGCGCCGUGUCGGACCCGCAGCACCCGGCGCGGCUGCUGCGGGCGCUCAGCUCGUUCCGGGAGGAGACGCGGUUCUGCGACGCGCACCUGGUGCUGGAGGGCGAGGAGAUCCCGGUGCAGAAGAACAUCCUGGCGGCCGCCAGCCCCUACAUCAGAACAAAAUUGAAUUACAAUCCUCCAAAGGAUGAUGGCUCAACGUACAAGAUUGAACUUGAAGGGAUAUCUGUUGAUAUCAUGAAAGAGAUAUUAGACUACAUCUUCAGUGGGCAGAUCAGGCUAAAUGAAGAAACUAUCCAAGAUGUGGUACAGGCAGCUGAUCUCCUGCUGCUUACAGACUUAAAAACUCUCUGCUGUGAGUUUUUAGAAGGUUGCAUAGCUGCUGAGAACUGUAUUGGUAUUCGGGACUUUGCACUGCACUAUUGUUUGCAUCAUGUUCACUACCUUGCCUCAGAGUAUCUGGAAACUCACUUUCGAGAUGUCAGCAGCACAGAGGAAUUCUUGGAACUGACUCCUCAAAAACUGAAAGAAGUGCUGUCCAUGGAAAAGCUCAAUGUUGGAAACGAAAGAUACGUCUUUGAAGCGGUGAUUAGGUGGAUUUCUCAUGAUUCAGAAUCCAGAAAGGUCCACAUGAAGGAUGUGAUGUCGGCAGUGUGGGUGUCGGGGCUGGACGCGGCGUAUCUGCGCGAGCAGAUGAUGAGCGAGCCGCUGGUGCGCGAGAUCGUCAAGGAGUGCAACAACAUCCCCCUGACACCCCCGCAGCAGGGAGAGGCCAUGCUGGCCUCCUUCAAGCCCCGGGGCUACUCCGAGUGCAUCGUGACUGUUGGGGGGGAAGAGAGAGUAUCACGGAAACCAACCUCAGUGAUGCGGUGUAUGUGUCCUCUUUAUGAUCCCAAUAGACAGCUCUGGAUUGAACUUGCUCCUAUGAGUAUUCCAAGGAUCAAUCAUGGAGUAUUGUCAGCAGAAGGAUUUUUAUUUGUGCUUGGUGGUCAGGAUGAAAACAAGGGAACGCUAAGCUCUGGAGAGAAAUAUGAUCCAGACACCAAUUCAUGGAGUUCCUUACCACCAAUGCAUGAGGCACGACAUAAUUUUGGUGUGGUAGAGAUUGAUGGGAUUCUGUAUAUUCUGGGAGGUGAGGAUGGUGAAAGGGAGCUGAUCUCUAUGGAGAGCUAUGACAUUUACAGCCGGACCUGGACCAAGCAGCCAGACUUGACCAUGGUUAGAAAGAUUGGCUGCUAUGCAGCUAUGAAGAAGAAAAUCUAUGCAAUGGGUGGAGGCUCCUAUGGAAAACUCUUUGAAUCUGUGGAGUGUUACGACCCCAGGACUCAGCAGUGGACAGCAAUCUGUCCUCUCAAAGAGAGGAGAUUUGGGGCAGUGGCCUGUGGAGUUGCCUCUGAGCUUUAUGUAUUUGGUGGGGUCAGGAGUCGUGACGACAGCCAAGCCAGUGAGAUGGUGACGUGCAAAUCAGAAUUUUAUCAUGAUGAGUUUAAAAGGUGGAUUUAUCUAAAUGACCAGAACCUAUGUAUCCCAACUAGCUCUUCUUUUGUGUAUGGAGCUGUGCCCAUCGGAGCCAGCAUAUACGUGAUUGGAGAUCUCGAUACAGGUACAAACUAUGACUAUGUUAGGGAAUUUAAGAGGAGCACGGGCACCUGGCAGCGCACCAAGCCGCUGUUCCCCUCGGACCUGCGGCGGACGGGCUGCGCGGCGCUGCGCAUCGCCAACUGCAAACUCUUCCGGCUGCAGCUGCAGCAGGGAUUGUUCCGCAUCCGCGUACCUUCUCCGUGAGCCCGUGCUGCCAGGGGACCAGACUGGAAGAGUGCUGUGCAGUCCACCAUAAUCUAGCUCUAUUUAAAGGAAAAGCUGAGAAAUUACAGCUGAAAAUUACACUGUAUGCUGUGCUUUGGUAUGGUAACUGUUUUUGUUUUAAAUGCUUACAAAGCUUGAGUCUCAGUACUUGUUUCGGGAACAAAUAACUUAAGUACACAUUAAAGAGGAGAGAAGGGGGAAAAUAAAAGGGGGAGAUCAAGGAAACACCUUCAGUCGUAACCAUUUGGAGUUUAAACCUUGUUAUUGAAGGAGGAUUUUGUGUCUGAAACUGGUGGGAAUCUGUUUCCUUUGGCGAAGCUUAUUGAAAAGCAAAAACAAAAAAAGCUUUCAGGUGCGUUUCCCCUGCGGGGAACUGAUACGAAUCCAUGUGCUAUCUGGAACUGGAUAGCUGUAAUACACAGAAGCUACAUGACAACCAACCUCCCUGGUGUGCUGCUGUUGGAGCAUGAGGCCACAGGAGUUGUUGGUCAUUGCACCUUUUAUUUCUAGUCCUUUCUCAAAAGAUAAGGUCUGUGCCUAAAAAAUGGUGGAGGUGUGUACAUAUGGUUUUUCAUUGAUUUGCAACGGUUUCAUUCUGACAAAUAUUUUUAAUAUAUAUAAAAUGGACUAAUCUGAAAUGGAUACACCCCAGAAAAUGGAUACAGUACACCACAAAGAAGUAAACAGUUUUUUCCUACGCUGUCAUUCGAGUAGCCUGAUGAACUGGUCUGCAGACAAAGUGCCAAGAUCCCAUAUUCAAAAGUGAUGAAUGUUCCUAAGUAUCUGUUUCACUUUGAGCUCAGUUUUCUAAGUGGCUUGGAAAACUUCAGAAAAUGUUAUUCAGAAUAUUGCAGCUGCUAUCUCCCGAGUCCCUGUAGCUCCCCAGUACACUUGAGGGCAUUCAGCAUCCAGAAAACGUAAGUGAUAAAUGCACAUGAUAAACCCAAGUAAAUACUCUAGCAGUGUUUUGCCGUUCAAGUUACUGAACCAAAUGUUUACACUUAGAGUAGGAUUAACACUAGGCGUUCUUAGUUUGUUUUUUUUAAAAGAAAAUAUAAAUAAAAGAAACAAAUCUGCUGGUGAUUGGAGCAUGUUGUGAAUGCACUCAGUGAGAUUUGACCAAGAACUUUGAGCCUCUGUACCUGAACCAGUCACAAACUGAAUUUCUGAGCACAUUGUACUCGUGUCAUGUUUCAUGUGGCUGGGACCAAGUCUCCAGGGAUGCUCUCCAGGGGUUUUUGGUGUGUGCUCAAGAUUUAGGCACUCCUGAGUUCUCAAAGCUGGCUUCCUUGGCCUUGCCUAAGGGGAUGGGACCAUUCCCCUUCUGCAUUGUCUGUGGGACUGAUCCAGGAGCUGUUCCAGCCUCUGUGUGUGCAGGAGGGAGGGGAUGUGUCUUCCUGUCUGUCUGUCUGUCCAGCUCUGAUCUGUGAAUGCAUCCCUUGGAUUGUGCAAUAACCAGGUUCGAUUUCCCUCAGAAUUUGGAGCAAGGCUUGUGGUGUGGUUCUAGUGAAGAACUGUAACCACACCAUAAGUGUGGUUUGAAGCCAAGGCUCCCCUUUCUGCAGGGAUUGUACCAGUGGUGGUGUGGGGGUGAAGAGGCAGAGCUCACCUCUGGCUUCUCUCUCUCUUUUCCGAGGGGGGGUUGCCUUCAGAAGGGGAGGGAGGCUGUGCUGGUACCAGAGGGCUGAGAGGAGGGAGGUCACCAGUUUGCUGAGUGUUGGAUGUGCAAACAGCUGUAGAUUGAACUGGCCUCACUGGUAAAUGCCACCACUCAGCUGUCCCUGCUCUCCUGGCACUGUGUACCCCUGCUGAACAACUCAGGAGUUUUUCUGAGUUGCAGUCCAGGGGUUUUUGGUGGUUUGGCAGCUUAGAACCUUGUUUAAGUUGUCCUUGCUUAGCACAGUGGCCUUAAUUCCUCCCAGCUCCUGAGUUGGCACUGACAUUGAGCCAGGUCCUCCACAGGUGACAGUCUGAAUGUGUGUCCUGGCCAGCUGUCCAUGCAGGAUGAGGACUGGCUGGGCCACCUUGAGCUUGAGGCACUUGGGCUGGGCCUCUGCAUCCAUUUUCCUUUCCCUGCUGAGGAAUUGGACCAACUCCAGCUACUGAAAUGAGAAAAUCACCAAAUACAGGUAGGAAUUGUGGAAGAUGGGAUGAGUGGUGGCUUUUUUCUCCCCUUACUCCAUCUCUUCCCACAAUUCCCCCAAGAAAAGUUUCUUCCUUUUUUUCAUGUGCCACAGAUAAUUUUGGAAAAAUUUUGGAAUUCUCAAUUUUAGGGGGAAAAGUGGGGGAAAAAAUACACAACUGUAAGCACACAGCAGUGUCCUCAGUGCUCGUUUUACACUUGUAGCCUUGUGGCUGCUCUGCACAGCAGAGAGAGAUUACAGAAGCAAAGGUGUAAAGUGCUGUUGCUCUCAUAAAAUAAAUCCCUUGAGUUUCUGAGGAAGGCACAUGCCUGGCCUGGCUCUGUUCCUUACCUGGCCUUGACAGAUGCUCGUGUUCCUAAAGAGUCAGGGUUGGAUUUCAGAUCCUCUCCCUUGCUGGUUUUAUAACUUGAAUAAGAGGCAUUGUGAAAAGUCUUCUGUUUUGCUGUACCAUAGCAAGGUCUAGUUGUCCUUAAAUAUUUUGUCAGCUAAUCCUUAAAUUUUAGUUAUUGUGAAAGUGCUGUGUCAACCCAGCUGCUUCUGGUCGAGUGAAUUUCUGUGGCUUUGAGGGUACUUCAUCUUUAAAUUGAAGACAAAUUAAUACAAAAUUACACAAGAGGACAGAGGUGAAUCUGAAAUGAAAAGAAGCUCAAAAUCAGCUCACUGAUAGCUGUGGGCAGGCUGUGUCCCUGGUGUUUGCACAGCACGUGCCAGGCACACAGCCUGCCUUCAGGAGCACAGAUCUUGAUAUGAAAAUAAGGAUUUUAUCAAAGCUACUGAACCGCCUGGCUUCUGAGCUCCCCCUCCAGAACACACCAGGCAGCUUGGUUGCUUUGCAAUAUUUUUCUGGUGCCUGCAUGACUCAGUAAAUGCACAAGUACAGAAAGAGGGGUCUGGGGAGGUUUUCCCCUGUUUUCACUGCAGUUUCUGUGUUUUUUCCAUAAAUGCUGUGCAGGGGCUCUGCUACCAUGCAUGUGCUGUGCAGAGUGGAGGAUGCAAUAACAAAUCCAAAUUGUUACAAGUGCCAAACUUUUGGGUUCUUCUGUGUAUAACAAUAAUUCAACUGUUCUACUAAAAUACAGAUAUGCCUAAAAUUCACUGUGUUCCAAAAAAGAGCAGUGGUUCUUUUUUUUUAAAUGAAUGCUAUUGGAAGCAAUGUAAAUCUUUUUUUUUAAUACUGUUCUGCAGGUUUGUGUUACUCUUCACAGCUGCCUUGAGUAUCACUCCAUGUGAUGCAAAUGGACACUUUGCUCUUUACUAGAGCACUGGUGCCAUGCAAAUAUAUAAUAAAAGGCAGCUGACAACAGGCUUUAGUAUUUAAAAUUAUAACUGUUUAGAUUAAGUGCAAUUUGUUUGCAUUUAUCGACCUGCAGAAUGAAACUGUGCCUCGGGAAAUGUGGCUGUGCCCAGGGACACGGGCAGACUGAGCAUUGUAACUAAGGUGUGGUUUGGUGCCACUCACAGCAAUGCUUUCCAAGGAAUUAUAUUUAAUUUAGUGUUAAAUGGAUCCUUUCUGCCUCUAAUUUAGCACUGAGGAUUUGGGGGUUGUGUUCUCUUUAGCUCUUUGGAGUACUUAAAUGGCUCCUUCAGGUGGGUGGGAGGGGUGUUAAUUGCAUCCGUGUUUGUAGAAGCUGCUAUUUCCAUCUUCCCAAAGGAGUAUUUCCUUUUCCCGUUCAGGACUGAGUACUGGCCUGUGUUUCAGUCGUCACUGCUGCAGCCUUUUGACAUUUGCCAUUUUCUGAUGCUCUUCCUUGGUUUUUUUUGGAGCUGUGUUUCCAGGGCACAUGGUCUGUGAGAGAAAAGCACAGGGCUUGGGAGGGUGAGCCAGUAAAAGCUAAAGGCAGUGGGGUUUGGGGAAACUCUGCUCAUUUUCUGUGGGGGUCACCUCUGUGUGCUCUGACGUUCUUUGAUAAGUUUGGCACCUGCUCUCCAUCAUCCCUAUGGGUUUUGGUGUGGUUUUUUUUUUCUUAUUUUUUUUUUCCCUGGGAAAUUCCUUGCUGUAGGAAGGAUUGCAGCCAGGGUUUAAGGUGACACCUCUGACCAGCCAUGGCCAGUGUGACUCUGCAGUCUGAUUGCUGCUGUGCUCCAGCAAUCAGUUCUCCCAAAAUUUUGAUUAACAUGUUACCUAAAAACAGAGACUAAAGCCAUUCAAAGUGCCCAGCUUGAUAAACACCUGUUUAAAAGGAUUAAGGGUAAUAAGAAUAUUAAACUAUGAGCUACCACCAACAGGUGAUUAUGUUGAAAAUUAAUUGGUGAUACCAAAUCUGAAUAAUAUUUUUAAUUACUUAUUCUAGGUAGCUGCUUUUUAGUUAUAAAACUAUUUGCAAUACAUAAAGGACUGGUAUAGAAUAAUAUUUGGAGGUUAUUUGAAAUAAUCUCUUGGAAUAUCUUGAAAAGUGAGCUAGAAGAUUGGAGCUUUUCAAUGGAAAAAGGCUAAAUCUUGAUGCCCGGCAGUUUUGCAGGAUUUCUGAGCAGAGAACACCUGCCAGAGCACUUCAGUCCAUGAAGCUGCUCAAUGCCACUGCCUACCUGUGCCCUUGAAUUUGCAUAAUGAAAUGAGGCUGUUCUGAGCCCUGGUAAAAGCUGACAGGUCUGAUUACAGUAAUAGAAAGAAGUAUCCCCUGUGUGUAAUCAGUGUUAUUUUAUUGAUAAAACACAAAUUAUUUUUUUUAAUACUAGGGGGUUUUGAAUUACCACCUGAGGCACUAAUUUAAUUUUUUUUUCUUAAUUUAUUUGACUUUCUUCCAUUUCUUUUGAGUUAAUUCUGAGACAACCUCAGUUUUUGUCGAGGUCAAGUUUCUUUCAUCUGUAGCUCUAAACCCUGUCAGAGCCUGACUGACCUCCUACCACCAGCUGUGCACUUGUUUCUCAAGUGUCAUUUCUGUGCAUUCUGUUAUUGGGCUGCCAAUUUCAGAACAGGAGAAAAAAACCCUGUGGAACAAAUUUGUACCUGAUGACAGCAAAAGCCAUUUUGGAAAGUUUAAAUUUCCAUCUGCAAUAGGCAGUGUGCUAUGAAAACCUGAUCCUUGGCUGGGCUUGAGGUUCUCUACUGAACAGCCUCACAGGGAAAAGCUUUGGGUUUUAUUAAUCUGCUUUAUUCAUUUACACAUGAUAGCAGGAAAGCCUUAUCGUCACUUGUUUCACUGUUUUUAUGUAUUAAAAAGCAAAGCCUGCUUAUUUGUUAGAGUGAAUAAAGCAGUGCACAGGGGUAUCUGCUGAGGUGAUCAAGUUAAACACAGCUGACAUUCUGUAAAGCUCUUGCUAUAGUUUCUUUCUGAAGGGAAGCCAGGGAGUGCCCUCUCAAGAAAUACUUUCAAACCCUUUCAGAGCUGGUCUUAAACUAGUGCAAAGGACUCCUCUGGGUUGCUUAGAGAACAUAAAGUCUGUUCUAGCUUUUGUUUGCUUAGGGAAACACCUGCUAAGUCAAUUUUAAGCUUUAUUUUUUUUUUUUUUUUGAAUCCUUGAUUUCCAAAACCUAAAGUUUGCUUCUUGCAAUUGAAACAUGUUAGUGUUUAAGGGUCUGCAUUGUGCAAUGCAUGGUGAGUGCUCUGUCCUAUCUUGGCUACGUGAUGUAGACAGCAAGCUGUGUUCUGGGGGGCUCCUGGAAGCUCCUUUGCAGUGCUGAGGGGUGGAGAAGGUUCAGUACAAAAUUCUCCUUAGACUGCACAAGCCUUGCUGUGAGUGUCAGGGGGGCAAGAGGGGUUUGGUACAGAACUCAUGGAAUUGCCACCACUGACUGCCCUCGGUGUUUGGACCCCAAAGCCCAUCAGGGGCAGGUCCUGGGUGUUCCAUGCACGCUGUUUCCUCUGGCCUCAAGUGUUUUCUCUUUUGCUGUUAUUAACAGGAUUUUGCUUUCACUCUCCCUCUGAGCACACAGCCUGUGCCCAUGGGCCUGGGAGCACAGCUCCUGUGGGCCAGAGGGUGGCCACACCAACUUGCUCCCUGUGAGAACUCACCCAGGCUUUGCACAUCUCUGCACAUCAGUGUGUGUGGGGACAGUGUUUAGUACACAAUGAAAUGACUUUUCCUGGAGCUUGUAAAACUGCUGCCAGCAGGUCAGAGAUCAGCUGAGCCUGAGCAGAGCUGCAGGCAGAGCAGGUGUAGCCCAGUCCCUCGUGUGUGUCACUGUGGUGGGAGCCUGGCGCCUUGUCCUGGGGGGAAAAGCCCCUAUGCCCAGCUACCUCAUUUUUUCUUUCUUUGCACUUUGUCAAAUAUUUUUUAUUUUGUUUUGUUUUAAAUCACAUUUUGUCCUUCAAUUAAAAAAACCUAAAAGCAGACAAGAAGCAGGACAGAAUGGUAUCAUUGCCCAAGGACAGUUUAAUUUCAUUUUAAAUUAAUGUUUCUGUACAAAAAGACCAAGGUUGACCUGCAGCUGCUGUAAAAAGUAAAUAAAAAUUUCUAUUACUUGACAGUAACUAUUAUACUUGGAAAUGAGAGUAGCAAUUGAAAGGCUGUCCUGAUGAUUUUUAAAUAGGAAGAAAUCUGUUUAAAAAAUAGAAAUCUCUGCUCUUUUAAGGAAAGAUCAGAUAGUUUUCUCUCUUCCUCUACUCUGCUCUCACUGUUAUGCCUGUGAACUUGACACAUUGUCUCAAUAGAGAGAUUCACUGAUUUUACUGUAAUGUCUAAUUAGAUAUUUUUCUGUGGAGUUCCCCAUUUAAUCACCUGCAGAGGAAAAACUGUUCAAAUCAAUACCCACCUUCCAUACCUGAACUUAUGUCAUUGUCCAUUUCUUUGUGAUCUUCAGGUAUGUGGGGUUUUGCUUAGAUUGAAAAAGUUUUUUAAAAGAUGUCUUUUCUUCUGCUUCUAAAGGUGCUAUUUUGACAUAGAUUUGAAUUCCUUACACUGUGCUUGACUUCUAAAAGUACCAAUAUAAGCUGGUAAUCAGCUUGUGUUUGUUCUGUGGAGUUUUUCUUUGAGUAUUCAAUCUCUAUUUUGAAAAGCAUCCCUUUUCAUAAAGAUGGCUUCCAAACUGUCAAAGGCCUUAAUAAUACAAAAUGUAAUGGGAAAAUGCUACCUUUUUCCUUUCUUUGUAAAAGCAAAGCCAAGAAAUGCUUCAUGGAGAACAUCUUCCUCUAAAAUUUUGAGGAGUAGCUCAUACUAACUUUGACUUCAAUGUAGCAAACAUUUUAGUGGCCAUGCACAAAUAGUAGGGGUGAAACAAGGAGCUAUUCAUAACUCUGCAGACUGUACCAAUUAGCUGCUAAUUCCAGAGCCUUCCAUUAGCAUCAUGGUGGCUAUUCCAUAAAUAUUAAUCUUGCCAGGACGUGGCUGUGUGUCUGGGACAGGCUGACCCAUGUGGCUGGCACAUCUGGGAUGUUGGGCCUGGUGUGGGGUUUGUCUCAGACCCCUCCUGCUCAGCCCCCAGGGUUUGGGUGCCACAGGUGCUCAGGAGGAAGGAGGAGGGAAGCUCCAAGUGCUGCCAUUGCAGUGACAUUGGCUUGGGCACUCUGAGGAGUGGCUCUUGCAGACACAAGCCAUGGAGGAGAGAGCUGAAUUUUACUCCUGCAUAGGAGCUUUGUUGUCGUUUUUGUGCUGUCUUUAUUUUUGUUUGAUCUGUAUCAUCAGUUUGGUUUAGGCAUUUGGUAACACUGCUACAGGAAGGUUUUUCUUUCUCUGAAGCACAUAAAGUCCUACUCCUGCCCUGUCUGAAGCAGCAGGAAGGAUCAAGGGUUGAUGUUUGAAUUUGUCCCAUCUCAGACAGCAGGUUAUUUAUUGCCUUCUCCUGGGCUCUGCAGUCCCAGUGCUGUAGCAUUUCUCAGUUGUGUUACUCUAAGAGCCCUUUAGGCUUUUGAAGAGAGUCCAGAGACUGCCUUGUCCUUCUUCUCCUUCUCACAUUGGGUGCUGCCCUCUGGACCAUCCAAACUCAUGCAGGCUGUCACUGCAGAGGAGCCACCGGUUGGUGGCCUCACAGGAGUAUCUGUGUUACCUGCAGUGCUUCUGAAAAACAGCUGAUAAAUGAGGGGCCAUGGAGAAACCCUACUGAGCUUGCAAAUUCCUGAUCCUCUCAUUCUAGGGAAGGCUGAGGAGCAGCAUCAUUCCUUGCCUUGCAGCUGCUCCCUGCUGCACAGGUAAGGAUGAGUCCACACUGUUCCUUAUGAUAUCAACAUUUAUGGGCUGUUAUAGGAGAUCUACUAUUUUGCAUUUGUUAUAUUUAAAUCUGAAACUUCUGGAGCUAUGGAAUGGUGGGUUCUGGAACUGUCUGCAGUGUGGAACCACAGGUACUGGCCUAUAGAGCUGGGGAGCUUCUGGCCACCUGUUUUUCCACUGCACUUUUUUCUUUUUUUGAGAAACCAGAGAUGUGAAACUGCAUCCCAGUUCAUAUGCCCACUGCUUCAUAGUCCAGAGUGGGACCCUGAUAAGCUGGAAUUGUUUUACCUUCAGGAGGAAAAACUAAAAUUUCUUCACAUUAGAUGCUCUAUCUUCAGAGUUUUCCCUUGGUAAAUCAUAUUUAUUGAGUCCCAUGAAUCUUGUGGGAUUGGGUUAAAGAAUAUGAAUAUGUAUUAUAAGAAUAAUAACUAGUGUGCUUAGUCUGACUUUGUACAGUACAAAUAGUCUCUUAUAUCUUAAGAGAAUGAAACAGCUAUUGAAUAAUCCAGUUAUGAUAUCUGUAUUCCAUGAACCAAGUAAUAGGAGGGUGUUAGAAUGUGAUGUCACAUUGCUGCCACUCUCCUAAACGUUCAAUGUUCUGUCAAAUCUAAGAUCUUGAUAAUUACCAGGAUAUUGUCAGAAUAUAUUGCCACCUUUUCUACAAAAGGCACAUUGGUGUGGUGAGGUAAAAGCACUCACCUUUUACCUUUGCACUCACCUUUUCUUUACCACCCGUGGCAUGCAGCUGGACAGCAAGGGUUACCCCAUCACCCAGCUGUCCUGCUCUGACUCCUGCAUUACAGAUGUGGUUACUGUUACAGGCUUUUUAUGUGUGUACAUGUUCUGUGGGUCCUUCUGUGCUUUGUGUGGGAAUGGAGUUUUGCCUUUUACGUGUCCACCCCAAAAUCUUUAGAAAUUAAUUGAUUAAUUACUCGGGGGCAGGGUUUGGAAUGCUCUGAUUGGAGUAUGUUGAGUUACUUCUGUUUAAAACAGGGAAAAAUAAGACAUAAAUGCUCUUUGACCUCAAUCAAACUAUGCAAUACAGCACACCAGAGAGCUGAAUUCCUUGUGAUACAGAAGUGCAGCUCCCGUGUCCUUCCAAACCCAGUCCUUGGUCCAAGGUUAGGAGAGCUUGUACUCAAUGGCUGCCCAAGAAUCUCGUAUCCAGAUCAACUCUAGUUCACUGCUUUUGCUCCUGCCCCCUUGCCUGGCCCAGCAGUUUAGCUGGGUCAGGUUGUUGGGUGUUUUGGCUCGGGAUGAUGUGAUCUCCAUGUGUGUCCCUCCUGUUGUGCCAUGGUGUUGUCAGCUGGAGCUUGUCCUGUAACCCCCCCAGUGCCGCUUUACCACAUUAGCACCUCCCUGCCCUGGAGCAUGUCAGGUGUUUGGGGUUUGCUGUGCCCCCUGGGUUGGUGUUGUCUUCUUUCCCUGUGUCAGUCAGUUGUGGAUCUGGUGCUUACAGUAAAGAAUCCCUGUGAUGUCUCCAAUCAGUCCAAGUACGUUUUCAUUUCUGCUGCUUCUGUGUGAGUUUGGUUUUUUUGCUUCUGUGGCAAUUCAGCGAUAAAUGCCCAUGUGGUCAGGACUGCUGGUAAAGGUUCUUUGUUCUCCCAUUGCUUCAUUUUUCCAAUGAAAUUUGUUCCUUGUGUUCCUCUUCUUCCCCCUGGUAAAAAACGGGUACAGUUUUUCCUGGUUCUGCCUCCCGUGAGGAGCUCUCCUCUCCCAGGUGAUCCUGAAUUCUUCAUUUACUUAACCCACCCAGGACCUCGUACAGUUUCUGCCUCCUAACUCCCUUUUCUAUUUUGUCUCUCUUUAAUUCAGAUUGACCUCGAUUUCUUUCUCUGAUUCCAAGCAGGGAUUUUGGUGCAUAGCCUGGGAGACCAGCAGGAAAGCUCUCUCUGUGUACAUCCAUUCCCUCCCCAGCACAUGCAGUGUAAGGGGCUCAGCCUGUUCCAUUCCUUCCCCCAGGUUUUCCCUAGUGCUAAGCAGACCACAGGCUGAAGCCAUUUCUUAUUUCUUUUGGUAACUGAAAAUAUUAGGAGAUUUUCUUCUUCAGAAAUAGCCACUGCAGAUGGGCAGCUGGCAUGAGAGAGGGUUGUUAUGCUUCCAUAUUCAGUAUUUUUAAUUGAGGAACAAAUAAUUUAUUUUGGGGAAAAAUGUAAAUUUUUUUGUAUUUGUACGUCAAAGUGGCCUUUAUAGAAAAGCACAUAAAAUAUUUAGAUUAAAAUUGCUUAGUUGUGUAAUUUCAGUGGGGAUUUUUGUAUUGACAGGGUUUCUAUGCAUUUUUCAAAAUAUACUUGCUGUUUUGUGUUAGAAUUAUUGGAAAUCUUUUAAAAAACAUAUAUUACCACAUUUUCCAUGGUUGAUCCCUUUACUAUCAUUCCUUUUGAAUACUAAAAAGAUUUUAAUUAACCCUGUAAAUUAAUUUUCCCCACAAAUAUUUGCAUUAAGUCAAUAUAAUGAGUUCUAGCAUGGGUAUGUAGCUUUAAGGGAAUAAGCCUAGUAGUGCAGCUUAAUUCUGGAGAGAUGUGUUUGCAGAAGGGUGGUACAGCAGCGUUUCAAUUGCACUUAAAACACUAAAUUAGGAAAUUAAGUUUUUGCUGUACCUCACUAGGGUUUUAUUAAACAUGUCCAUCCUGUAUUGUUUACACUUGAGCAUCAUUUAACUAUGUAUUAUUUGUGCAGUUUGCAGUUCUCUGUUCUGUCAGGAUUAUGUGAACAUUAACAGGUAGGAAAAGUUCUGGAGUGUGUGAUGUCCUCAUGGGUUUGGUGUGGGUUUGGGGAGGGAGGAGAGAGGAAAGUUAAAUCCAUUAGUGUAUUUUUCCAUUUAAUUAUGUACACAUUUUCACAUUAGAUGAGACUGAAUAACUGAAGUUACAAUUGAACUGUGAGUAAAAUCAGUGGUUUGGGGGUGGGGGAAAUGGAGGGGUUGCAGAAUUUCAGGCAAAAACCCUUCAGUUGCACUGUGGUACAACUGCCCUGACUGCCUGUGCAAAGCACAGCCCGAGGGGACACAUCAGACCCAUCCCUUUUUCUGGUUUUACUUUCUCUUCUCGAGGUGUUGCUGCAAGGUUUGCUAAGUAGGACCUUCCCAGGAAUGUCUAUCAACUGAGACUUGAGUUUUAUCAUUUUAUGUUUGUAGUUUUAAUUUUUGUUCUUGUUUCUGUUUCAUAGGAGAUCCCACACGUUCACAGGUUAGUGUAAGUGCAGGCUUUCAGGUGUAGCACCAAAUGAGCGUUUCAUGCAACCAUGCAUUCUGUAAUUAAAGAAAAAUGUGCAAUUCUAAUGGCACUUUGACCCAUUGCUGAAACACUGGGUUUUGCAAUUGAACAAACUCAAAAAUUGAAAACACUCUGUGUCUUCAUUAGAUGUCGUGAAGGUGAAGCAAAAGGCAGUUACUCCAGUUGUACCCAUGAUAAUUUGGUAUUUAUUUUAAUAUAGUUUUAUGGUCUGUUUUUAGAAAAACACUCAUUUCUUGGUUUACUUUAGUUGCCAUAAAUUGCCCAGUGCAGAGUCUGGUCCACCUCCAUUCAUUUAUUUUCAUGGAAUAGUUGCACAAAAACUGGUAACAGCAAAGUAGGAAAGCUCUUUGGUUACUCACCACUAGCUUCCCUUGCAGAAUUGCUUUGUGGCUCACACAUGGUUUGAAAAGGGACACGGGAAUUUUCCUGGAUUCAGCAGCACUCGCUUUGUUUACGUGUUCAGUAGAACAUUGGGUGACUAAAGGGAGGCUCCCUUUUUAAAGUAUUGACUUGUGCUUUGAGGACUUAGUUGCCACUGUGCAAAUUGUGCUGUAAUAUUGUACCAAGGAUCAGUGAAAGUGUUUUAUCUUUUUUAAUGUCGUUUGUAUUUGACCGGGUUUUAUAAAUGUAAGAAAACAGAGUGUUGUAUUUUGAUCUGAAAUUUGCGUAUGGUAAAAGUAACUUUGCUUUAUGUAUUGGAGGUUUGUUCAGAACUUGAAUCAUUUUAUAGAAGGGUACAGACCAAAAUUAAUUGUCUUAAAGGUGUUUAAUAAAUUAACCAAAUAAAACAUUGAUUGUUUGAAAACUUGUUAACUGCA